AUUGAACGCUGGCGGCAGGCCUAACACAUGCAAGUCGAACGGUAGCACAGAGAGCUUGCUCUCGGGUGACGAGUGGCGGACGGGUGAGUAAUGUCUGGGAAACUGCGCGAUGGAGGGGGAUAACUACUGGAAACGGUAGCUAAUACCGCAUAACGUCUUCGGACCAAAGUGGGGGACCUUCGGGCCUCACACCAUCGGAUGUGCCCAGAUGGGAUUAGCUAGUAGGUGGGGUAAUGGCUCACCUAGGCGACGAUCCCUAGCUGGUCUGAGAGGAUGACCAGCCCCACUGGAACUGAUACACGGUCCAGACUCCUACGGGAGGCAGCAGUGGGGAAUAUUGCACAAUGGGCGCAAGCCUGAUGCAGCCAUGCCGCGUGUAUGAAGAAGGCCUUCGGGUUGUAAAGUACUUUCAGCGGGGAGGAAGGCGAUGUGGUUAAUAACCGCAUCAAUUGACGUUACCCGCAGAAGAAGCACCGGCUAACUCCGUGCCAGCCGCCGCCGUAA
rnacentral:rRNA from 1 species